UGGGGUGUGGCUCAGUAGUAGAGUGCAUGCCUAGCAUGCGUGAGGCACUGGGUUCGAUCCUCAGCACCGCAU
rnacentral:tRNA from 1 species